rnacentral:rRNA from 1 species
GGGUUGUGAGGUUAAGCGACUAAGCGUACACGGUGGAUGCCCUGGCAGUCAGAGGCGAUGAAGGACGUGCUAAUCUGCGAUAAGCGUCGGUGAGGUGAUAUGAACCGUUAUAACCGGCGAUUUCCGAAUGGGGAAACCCAGUGUGUUUCGACACACUAUCAUUAACUGAAUCCAUAGGUUAAUGAGGCGAACCGGGGGAACUGAAACAUCUAAGUACCCCGAGGAAAAGAAAUCAACCGAGAUUCCCCCAGUAGCGGCGAGCGAACGGGGAGGAGCCCAGAGCCUGAAUCAGUGUGUGUGUUAGUGGAAGCGUCUGGAAAGGCGCGCGAUACAGGGUGACAGCCCCGUACACAAAAAUGCACAUAUUGUGAGCUCGAUGAGUAGGGCGGGACACGUGGUAUCCUGUCUGAAUAUGGGGGACCAUCCUCCAAGGCUAAAUACUCCUGACUGACCGAUAGUGAACCAGUACCGUGAGGGAAAGGCGAAAAGAACCCCGGCGAGGGGAGUGAAAAAGAACCUGAAACCGUGUACGUACAAGCAGUGGGAGCCUCUUAAUGGGGUGACUGCGUACCUUUUGUAUAAUGGGUCAGCGACUUAUAUUCUGUAGCAAGGUUAACCGAAUAGGGGAGCCGAAGGGAAACCGAGUCUUAACUGGGCGUUAAGUUGCAGGGUAUAGACCCGAAACCCGGUGAUCUAGCCAUGGGCAGGUUGAAGGUUGGGUAACACUAACUGGAGGACCGAACCGACUAAUGUUGAAAAAUUAGCGGAUGACUUGUGGCUGGGGGUGAAAGGCCAAUCAAACCGGGAGAUAGCUGGUUCUCCCCGAAAGCUAUUUAGGUAGCGCCUCGUGAAUUCAUCUCCGGGGUAGAGCACUGUUUCGGCAAGGGGUCAUCCCGACUUACCAACCCGAUGCAAACUGCGAAUACCGGAGAAUGUUAUCACGGGAGACACACGGCGGGUGCUAACGUCCGUCGUGAAGAGGGAAACAACCCAGACCGCCAGCUAAGGUCCCAAAGUCAUGGUUAAGUGGGAAACGAUGUGGGAAGGCCCAGACAGCCAGGAUGUUGGCUUAGAAGCAGCCAUCAUUUAAAGAAAGCGUAAUAGCUCACUGGUCGAGUCGGCCUGCGCGGAAGAUGUAACGGGGCUAAACCAUGCACCGAAGCUGCGGCAGCGACACUAUGUGUUGUUGGGUAGGGGAGCGUUCUGUAAGCCUGUGAAGGUGGCCUGUGAGGGUUGCUGGAGGUAUCAGAAGUGCGAAUGCUGACAUAAGUAACGAUAAAGCGGGUGAAAAGCCCGCUCGCCGGAAGACCAAGGGUUCCUGUCCAACGUUAAUCGGGGCAGGGUGAGUCGACCCCUAAGGCGAGGCCGAAAGGCGUAGUCGAUGGGAAACAGGUUAAUAUUCCUGUACUUGGUGUUACUGCGAAGGGGGGACGGAGAAGGCUAUGUUGGCCGGGCGACGGUUGUCCCGGUUUAAGCGUGUAGGCUGGUUUUCCAGGCAAAUCCGGAAAACCAAGGCUGAGGCGUGAUGACGAGGCACUACGGUGCUGAAGCGACAAAUGCCCUGCUUCCAGGAAAAGCCUCUAAGCAUCAGGUAACAUCAAAUCGUACCCCAAACCGACACAGGUGGUCAGGUAGAGAAUACCAAGGCGCUUGAGAGAACUCGGGUGAAGGAACUAGGCAAAAUGGUGCCGUAACUUCGGGAGAAGGCACGCUGAUAUGUAGGUGAAGCGACUUGCUCGUGGAGCUGAAAUCAGUCGAAGAUACCAGCUGGCUGCAACUGUUUAUUAAAAACACAGCACUGUGCAAACACGAAAGUGGACGUAUACGGUGUGACGCCUGCCCGGUGCCGGAAGGUUAAUUGAUGGGGUUAGCGGCAACGCGAAGCUCUUGAUCGAAGCCCCGGUAAACGGCGGCCGUAACUAUAACGGUCCUAAGGUAGCGAAAUUCCUUGUCGGGUAAGUUCCGACCUGCACGAAUGGCGUAAUGAUGGCCAGGCUGUCUCCACCCGAGACUCAGUGAAAUUGAACUCGCUGUGAAGAUGCAGUGUACCCGCGGCAAGACGGAAAGACCCCGUGAACCUUUACUAUAGCUUGACACUGAACAUUGAGCCUUGAUGUGUAGGAUAGGUGGGAGGCUUUGAAGUGUGGACGCCAGUCUGCAUGGAGCCGACCUUGAAAUACCACCCUUUAAUGUUUGAUGUUCUAACGUUGGCCCGUAAUCCGGGUUGCGGACAGUGUCUGGUGGGUAGUUUGACUGGGGCGGUCUCCUCCUAAAGAGUAACGGAGGAGCACGAAGGUUGGCUAAUCCUGGUCGGACAUCAGGAGGUUAGUGCAAUGGCAUAAGCCAGCUUGACUGCGAGCGUGACGGCGCGAGCAGGUGCGAAAGCAGGUCAUAGUGAUCCGGUGGUUCUGAAUGGAAGGGCCAUCGCUCAACGGAUAAAAGGUACUCCGGGGAUAACAGGCUGAUACCGCCCAAGAGUUCAUAUCGACGGCGGUGUUUGGCACCUCGAUGUCGGCUCAUCACAUCCUGGGGCUGAAGUAGGUCCCAAGGGUAUGGCUGUUCGCCAUUUAAAGUGGUACGCGAGCUGGGUUUAGAACGUCGUGAGACAGUUCGGUCCCUAUCUGCCGUGGGCGCUGGAGAACUGAGGGGGCUGCUCCUAGUACGAGAGGACCGGAGUGGACGCAUCACUGGUGUUCGGGUUGUCAUGCCAAUGGCACUGCCCGGUAGCUAAAUGCGGAAGAGAUAAGUGCUGAAAGCAUCUAAGCACGAAACUUGCCCCGAGAUGAGUUCUCCCUGACCCUUUAAGGGUCCUGAAGGAACGUUGAAGACGACGACGUUGAUAGGCCGGGUGUGUAAGCGCAGCGAUGCGUUGAGCUAACCGGUACUAAUGAACCGUGAGGCUUAACCUUACAACGCCGAAG